GUUGGGGCUCGGGCUUUCACUCCAACCCCUGUGACAUACCAAUUGUUGCCUCGGCGGAUCAGCCCGCUCCCGGUAAAACGGGACGGCCCGCCAGAGGACCCCUAAACUCUGUUUCUAUAUGUAACUUCUGAGUAAAACCAUAAAUAAAUCAAAACUUUCAACAACGGAUCUCUUGGUUCUGGCAUCGAUGAAGAACGCAGCAAAAUGCGAUAAGUAAUGUGAAUUGCAGAAUUCAGUGAAUCAUCGAAUCUUUGAACGCACAUUGCGCCCGCCAGUAUUCUGGCGGGCAUGCCUGUUCGAGCGUCAUUUCAACCCUCAAGCCCCCGGGUUUGGUGUUGGGGAUCGGCGAGCCCUUGCGGCAAGCCGGCCCCGAAAUCUAGUGGCGGUCUCGCUGCAGCUUCCAUUGCGUAGUAGUAAAACCCUCGCAACUGGUACGCGGCGCGGCCAAGCCGUUAAACCCCCAACUUCUGAAUGUUGACCUCGGAUCAGGUAGGAAUACCCGCUGAACUUAAGCAUAUCAAUACCCCGGGAGGA
rnacentral:rRNA from 1 species